rnacentral:rRNA from 1 species
GACGAACGCUGGCGGCGUGCUUAACACAUGCAAGUCGAACGGUGAAGCGCCUUCCUUUUUGGUGGGUGUGGAUGAGUGGCGAACGGGUGAGUAACACGUGAGUAACCUGCCCCCUUCUUCUGGAUAACCGCAUGAAAGUGUGGCUAAUACGGGAUAUUCUGGGUCUGUCGCAUGAUGGGUCUGGGAAAGAUAUUGUUUCGGUGGGGGAUGGGCUCGCGGCCUAUCAGCUUGUUGGCGGGGUGAUGGCCUACCAAGGCGGUGACGGGUAGCCGGCCUGAGAGGGUGGACGGUCACACUGGGACUGAGACACGGCCCAGACUCCUACGAGAGGCAGCAGUGGGGAAUAUUGCACAAUGGGCGCAAGCCUGAUGCAGCGACGCCGCGUGAGGGAUGGAGGCCUUCGGGUUGUGAACCUCUUUCGCCAGUGAAGCAGGCCUGCCUCGUUUGUGGGUGGGUUGACGGUAGCUGGAUAAGAAGCGCCGGCUAACUACGUG